AUCACGACGGCACGACGCGUUUGCAAUUACAUUAUAAUAAUUCAUAGACAUUACUAUAGUUAGUAGUUAGUAGUUACUAGUAAGUCUAGUAUUACUAUGUUAGACCAAAUACUUAUAUAUAACCUAUAGUAAUCUAUCAGACUGGAAUGCUCGACUUGCUCUCACUCUGUAGUCUGUAGAUACUUAUAAAAAUUAUUUAUUUAUUUUUAGUAUCAACAUUAUUUGUCGUGGUAUUUACCUACUCUAUACCUAUUUUAUUUAAAAUUAUUUCUGUUGUUUCCAUUUAAUUGUAUUUAUUGUUUUCAUUAUAAAAUGGCUAACUAUUUUGAUUUUCACAGAUUGGAGUUAAUGAAAAUCCUAAAGUACUAAUGUCUUUUUUCAUAACUUAAAAAUAUGUUCACCCAGGAUUAGUUAAACGUCUCCUGCCAAGUGUUUCAAUUAUUAAUGAGCCAAGUACAAGAUUUGCAAUUGUGUUUUGUUUGAAAGGACUGAAGUCAAGUUAUUUUCUAUUAAUGAUUCAAUGUAUUAAAUACCAAAGGUGAAAUGGAUAUUUCAUUGAUAUCAGCUGUAUUUUAUCAAGGCUUAGAAAAAAAUGAAAAUUUAUAUGCUCAGAAUUCUGCUAGCUGUGUAAAAAGUAUAAACGAUGAAGAUGAGAUUGCAUUAUUGUUAUCAGUUAAUUUACCUUCUACUCUGCCGUUCAUGAAUAUAGAAAGCACUUCCAAUAUAUUAGUUAUUAAAAACCCUUUUAACGAAUGCUUCAGAUAUUCCAUGUUGUCGCUUUCUAAAAUAUGGAAUUCGGGCGUUAACGGAUGAGCUUGCUAUUAAAAAUCUGAAGCUCAAAACAGUUUGGAAAUGAGUUAGCCGGCAGAAAAAUAAAAUAGCGACAAUGAAAAUAAUUAUCACAAAACUACAAAAAGAGAACUUCAUAAAUGAAUACAUUGAUUUCAUAUUUUUAUAAUCCUUUGGUAAUUAAUCAACGUAAAUGAAUCUUUGAUGAUCAUGUUUCAAAUUUUGAUUUUCUUUAUAAAUAUAAGCAUUUUCAACAAGCAAAUAGUCAACUUUCCAAAGUGGUCAAUAAGCAUAAUUGUAUAUAUCUAUAAUAAUCAAAAUAUGUUUGAUAUGGGAUUUGUUCAAUAUCUUAGAAAAAACAUUAUUAAAUCUACUUGUCGUCUAAAUGUGUACAGGUAUCCAAAGAUGAGCGUUAGUUUUCUGUCACUCCUGAAAUAAUUAGCUUUCAUACAGCUGAAUGAUUGACACGGUGCGUUACGGUCGCCAGUAUAAAGUACGGGCACCACAACGACCGAUCUUCACCUUACCAACCACCACCACGGGCAAAGUCGGUUCGACACAGUCAACUCUCCCACCUCACCACAAAGGCAUAGGGUGGGACGGGAAGACAGGUCGGCCCGGGCAAGUACCGGCCGCCCGGUUUCGUUCUCUUUUGCCACCGCCGUCAUCGCGCCAACACGCACCUUUGUCGUCGUGCAUAAAAUACAUAUCUUUUUCUUUUCUCCACCGUCAACACCAAUAUUGGUCGUUGUUAUCCACACUACAUUUCUUCGUCAUUCGCGUGUGAAAAUAAACGCUUAGCAAAAAACCACAAUCGGUGAUCGUCAUUUAUUGUUUCUUUUUUUUUUUUUGAAUCACCACCUCAACCUACACCUUUGAACGGGGUACCGCGGAACCUUAGACGCUAAACCCGCCGUCGCCACAUCAAAUUGGCUCCCCGGCGGGGAAUCGAACCCCGGUCUCCCGCGUGACAGGCGAGGAUACUUACCACUAUACUACCGAGGAAUAGUUGCAAUUUGAUUGUUGAUCCUUUCUGUGGAGUUGGCAGUGAUGUUACUCAAUUCGCUAAAAUGUGUGAGCUUAUUAAAGCUAUUGAUAUUUAUCCAAAACAAAUUGAAAUAAUCCGUUGCAACGCAGACUCAUAUGGUGAUGUUUAUUGAGUUAAAUUUUUGAUAUAAGACAAAAUUACAUUUUCGUAUUAAUUAGUAAUUAAUUAGUAAUUACUAAAUAAUUAUAUAUUAAACAUGAUAAUCAAUAAGUAAUCAUUAUCAUUAGGUAUGUUUUUUCAAACGGAAUAUAGCAGAAUGCUUGUUCAAUUCAAGGUUUAAUCUACCAUAUGGACUUAGCAAUGAAGAAACUACCACAUUGCACGUGUCAUAAUGGUUUGAAAUCAGAAUCAACUGAUUUAAUAAUUUUUAAUAUUCUAUAAUUUUGCUGUAUAUUUAGUGUUUGUUACAGUCUUAGUAAGAAACCAAUUGAUUAUGUAAAUUUUCCUUUGUAAACUUAUUAUAAGUAUUGUAUUCAUCAGUUAAUAAUUUAAUGUAUUAAUCUAUUAUGAAUCUAACUUAAGCUUACCAACUAUUUGUUUUUACAAAAUUUAAUGUGUAUUGUUGGACUCUGUAUUAUGUAAGCAUUCCGGUAGAACUGGAAAAGGAAAUUUUCCAGAUGUCCUAUAUUUAUUAUUAUGUUCCACUGAAUUAUAUAUGUUAUAUUAUUUAGAAAAUUAAAAAAUGCUUUAAAAAUA